rnacentral:rRNA from 1 species
UGCCAGCAGCCGCGGUAAUACGAGGGGUGCAAGCGUUGUUCGGAAUCACUGGGCGUAAAGGGAGCGUAGGCGGAACUCCAAGUCGGUCGUACAAUACCAGGGCCCAACCCUGGAACUGCGGCCGAGACUGGUUUUCUUGAGUUGUUUAGAGGCAGGCGGAAUUCCAGGUGUAGCGGUGGAAUGCGUAGAGAUCUGGAAGAACACCAAUGGCGAAGGCAGCCUGCUGGGAACAAACUGACGCUGAGGCUCGAAAGCGCGGGUAGCAAACAGGAUUAGAUACCCUGGUAGUCCGCGCUGUAAACUAUGUAUACUAGGCGUCCGCCGCAAGGCGGGUGCCGUAGCUAACGCGCUAAGUAUACCGCCUGGGGAGUACGCUCGCAAGAGUGAAACUCAAAGGAAUUGACGG